rnacentral:rRNA from 1 species
AGAGUUUGAUCAUGGCUCAGAUUGAACGCUGGCGGCAGGCCUAACACAUGCAAGUCGAGCGUGAAAGCCUUCGGGUGAGUAGAGCGGCGGACGGGUGAGUAACGCGUGGGAAUCUACCUAGUAGUGGGGGACAACAGUCGGAAACGACUGCUAAUACCGCAUACGUCCUAAGGGAGAAAGCGGGGGAUCUUCGGACCUCGCGCUAUUAGAUGAGCCCGCGUAAGAUUAGCUAGAUGGUGGGGUAAAGGCCUACCAUGGCGACGAUCUUUAGCUGGUCUGAGAGGAUGAUCAGCCACAUUGGGACUGAGACACGGCCCAAACUCCUACGGGAGGCAGCAGUGGGGAAUAUUGCACAAUGGGCGCAAGCCUGAUGCAGCCAUGCCGCGUGUGUGAAGAAGGCCUUCGGGUUGUAAAGCACUUUAAGCAGUGAGGAAAGGUUGAUGGUUAAUAGCCAUCAGCUGUGACGUUAACUGCAGAAUAAGCACCGGCUAACUCCGUGCCAGCAGCUGCGGUAAUACGGAGGGUGCAAGCGUUAAUCGGAAUUACUGGGCGUAAAGCGCACGUAGGCGGCUUUUUAAGCUAGAUGUGAAAGCCCUGGGCUUAACCUGGGAACUGCAUUUAGAACUGGAAGGCUAGAGUAUGGUAGAGGAGUGUGGAAUUUCAGGUGUAGCGGUGAAAUGCGUAGAGAUCUGAAGGAACAUCAGUGGCGAAGGCGACACUCUGGACCAAUACUGACGCUGAGGUGCGAAAGCGUGGGUAGCAAACAGGAUUAGAUACGGAAGUCCACGCCGUAAACGAUGUCUACUAGCCGUUGGAAUCCUUAGAGGUUUUAGUGGCGCAGCUAACGCAAUAAGUAGACCGCCUGGGGAGUACGGCCGCAAGGCUAAAACUCAAAUGAAUUGACGGGGGCCCGCACAAGCGGUGGAGCAUGUGGUUUAAUUCGACGCAACGCGAAGAACCUUACCUACUCUUGACAUCCUCGGAACUUAGCAGAGAUGCUUUGGUGCCUUCGGGAACCGAGUGACAGGUGCUGCAUGGCUGUCGUCAGCUCGUGUCGUGAGAUGUUGGGUUAAGUCCCGUAACGAGCGCAACCCUUGUCCUUAGUUGCCAUCAGGUUAUGCUGGGAACUCUAAGGAGACUGCCGGUGACAAACCGGAGGAAGGUGGGGACGACGUCAAGUCAUCAUGGCCCUUACGACCUGGGCUACACACGUGCUACAAUGGGGAGUACAAAGGGUCGCCAAGCCGCGAGGUGGAGCUAAUCCCAUAAAACUUCUCGUAGUCCGGAUUGGAGUCUGCAACUCGACUCCAUGAAGUCGGAAUCGCUAGUAAUCGUAAAUCAGAAUGUUACGGUGAAUACGUUCCCGGGCCUUGUACACACCGCCCGUCACACCAUGGGAGUGGGUUGCAAAAGAAGUGGGUAGACUAACCUUCGGGAGGUCGCUCACCACUUUGUGAUUCAUGACUGGGGUGAAGUCGUAACAAGGUAACC